UCCAGACUCCUACGGGAGGCAGCAGUAGGGAAUUUUGCGCAAUGGGCGAAAGCCUGACGCAGCAACACCGCGUGAAUGUUAAGCCCUUCGGGGUGUAAAGUUCUGUCAAUAGGGACGAAUUUUGACUGUACCUAUAAAGGAAGCACCGGCUAACUCCGUGCCAGCAGCCGCGGUAAUACGGGGGGUGCAAGCGUUGUCCGGAAUCAUUGGGCGUAAAGCGUUCGUAGGCGGCAAGGUAAGUCUGAUGUUAAAGCCCGGGGCUCAACUCCGGUUCGGCAUUGGAUACUAUCUAGCUAGAAUGUGGUGGAGGUAAAGGGAAUUCCUGGUGUAGCGGUGAAAUGCGUAGAUAUAAGGAAGAACACCAGUGGCGAAGGCGGAUGACUGGACGGCAACUGACGGUGAGGCGCGAAAGCGUGGGGAGCAAACAGGAUUAGAUACCCCAGUA
rnacentral:rRNA from 1 species